CUAAGAACCUUAAAGGCCCGAUUCUUGAUUCAUUAUAGAGAAUACCUUUUUUAAAGGUUUCGUAACGAAAAUAUUAUAUUGUGCUAUCAAGAGUAUUACGCUCAGUACCUAUCAAUUCCAAGCCCCCUUCUUUGCCUUUUAAAGCUUUUGUAUUUUUUGGUUUUUCCAGCGCUGCCUCUUUGUUACCAACAGCAGAAUUUGAACCUUACUUCCGUGAAAUCAUUCGAUUGAGAGGCAAAAUAGGGUUGAAAGUGAAGUUGAGAGGACGCUAAAUUAAUAUACUAUUAUUUAGGGGAUAUGAUCGCCUUCUAUCUGUUAAAAGGCUUGAAUUAUGAGCUGCUGGUGAAGAACUUUAAAUUAUAGAAACUAAACCACUCAGCUAACUUAAAAAAUAGAGUGCCUAAUUUUUAACUCAAAAAAUUUAUUAAACAAAACAGUGAAAACAUUGAAAUUAUAACGGAAUACGCAGCAUCUUUAAAGCCUAACUAAACUCUUGCACUUAACGGUGUAUACUAUUCAGGCCCUAAGCUUCCGUGAAAAAAGAUCCGGAAACUUGAUUAAACUAUACAUAUGCUCCCAUCACUGAAAGAUGAACAAUUGCAACCUGUAAUUACUAAGUGCGCAGUGCUAACUGGAUUGUUGCGAAUCUUUCUUCAAAGUUAUAAGGAUCGUCUAAAGAGAGCGCCCUAUUCAUUCAUGGUACAACAUUGUGUUUAUUUUUAUAAAACUUGAAAACAAGAACCUCAGCUCCUUCCUUAAAUCUUUUGACGGUGCUAGAUCCACAGCUAGAAAAAAUAAGUAUACCACAAUAAGAAAAGAUUUAUCAAACUUCCGCUUAGCUAUAACGUUAAGAACA